AGCCCUGAAGUGUUUUGGCAUGUGAGAUUGCAAAUCUUAAGGAGCGGACUAGCGUCUGCCGGGGCUU
rnacentral:tRNA from 1 species